AAGUCAUUUCCAGUCAACAGUGAUGUAGGGGUGCUAAAGUGGAGACUACAAACCACAGAAGAAUCUUUUAUUCCACUGACAACUAAUUGCUGGCCUUCAGAAAGUGGAAGUGGCUGUGAUGUCAAUAUAGAAUAUGAACUACAAGAAGAUAAUUUAGAACUGAAUGACGUGGUUAUCACCAUCCCACUUCCGUCUGGUGUUGGUGCACCUGUGAUUGGUGAGAUCGAUGGGGAAUACUGACAUGACAGUCGACGAAAUACCUUGGAGUGGUGUCUGCCAGUGAUUGAUGCCAAAAAUAAGAGUGGCAGCCUGGAGUUUAGCAUUGCUGGACAGCCCAAUGACUUCUUCCCUGUUCAAGUUUCCUUCAUCUCCAAAAAAAAUUACUGCAAUAUACAGGUAACCCAUUUUAAUAGAGUGCAU